AUUGGUGCCUAUAAAUGUAUUUUUCAGGAAAGUAACUAGUCUUAAAAGCAAAUGCACAGCAUUGGUUUUGGUGAUUCAACUUGAUAACCAAGUACAAUAAUUUAUGCUAAUAAUUAAAAUUAUAUUGUUUUGGGUUAAAUUUUUUACGCAACUACUUAUACUAAAGCUCAAUAAAACGCUCAUUGCGUGUGUAUGUGUGUGGUAUGUAAAAAUAUUGGCUACAAUUGAACAGCUAUUGGCUUAUCUGACUAAAUGAACUGACAUGAAAAUAGUCUAACAAAUAUAUAUAUUCUAUGAAAAUGUAUAUUUUGCGAUAAAACUUAUCGAAACACAUGUAAGUGUACAGUAAGGCCUGUGGAAAAAAUUCCCCUUUAGCAUAAAAUGCUUUGAAAAUACUGUUUGACGAAUUUCUUUGUCUUAAACUGACAAUUAUAUGAUAUGUUUUUUUUUUAUUUAUGUUUUAAAAAAUAAUUUUUUUUUUAUUUAUUUGUAAAUAAUAAACAAACUAACUUAACCUAAAUUAGCUUACGUUUUUUUAACGAAAGUUUUCAAUAAAUAAACAUAAAAACUCGAAAUAAGUCUACAAUGCAAUUAAAAAAUAUUAAAAAAAAAAUUUAAAAUAUAUUGAUAAAUUAUUUUUCAAUUUCAAACAAGCUCGAUGCCAUAACACUUGAGUUCAUUGUUUUAGGGCUAUAUUUUAUAUAUAGACACUACAUUUCACAAUGCAUCAAUAUAAUUUUAUUGUCUUUUAUUUAUGAGCUAUCAGACAAACCCUAUAACCGCAUUAUUGUGAAAUUACAUACAAGCAUACGUAUGUACUGCAUGACAGGCAUUUUUCCAGGUAAUCAAACCAAUAAUGAUAGAUUAACUUUAUUUAUGUAUUUAUUGGAAAUGGCAGGUGGUUUUUACUUAUCAAACAAAGGCAUAAAAUGCACAACAUGGCAAAUUGACUUAGUUUGGUAUUAAUAAGAAAUCCAAAGUAUCGAAAAAUUGAUUAUUGAAGCAAAUUUCUAAAGUAUCUCGCAAAUUAAGUUGAAUAGGUCAGGGAACCAACUAAAAAGCAGCUUUGGAUAAAAAUAAUAUUUGUAUAUGUGUAAAAAGCGUUCAAUCAAAUACACGUGUAAAUACAUAUUUACUACACAUACAUAGUUGCAAACUGAAAUGAAUCACUCACGAAUUAUAUUUUGUUAUCUUUCAUGGACUCUUAUAAUUAUUACAUGCCAAUUGUGUUUGUCGUAGCCUCAACAACUGUUUACUCUUUUCGGGGUUAGCAGCGGCACUAAGCACCUAUUAUGUACUUUCUAUACUGUAAAGGGGUUUAUAGUGUUUACAAUAUAGUUGAAUAUGUAUAUGGAUAUCAAUAUUUAUAUUAAUAUGCUGGGGUAUUUUUUAUGAAAUAAAUAAAAAUCAUUAACCAUUGAUGCUCUUACCUGAUAAUUAAUUACCACACAAUUAAGAUUAAUUCAAACAAUUUUGGGUAGCAGCAGCGGUGCUCAUCUUUCUGUUUGUACCCUGAAAAGCGUAUAUCUUCUAAAGUACAUAUACCAAAACAGAUAAGAGUGUCGAACAGUACUCAAAUUUAUGAUUUUUACUUAAUUUAAUUCUCAAAAAUUGCCAAAUCCUUAUUACUUACAUUAAAAUUAUUAAAGGCACAGCAUUUUUUGUUCAAAUAUAAAAUAAAAUAAUUAUUUCAAAGAUGUCAUUAUAUAAAUGUCACACAAAAUGUAAAAUCGCAUGAUAUAUCUUGGGUAAUAACAGCACUGCAAUUAAUUAAUAUUGCUGACUUCGUUAAAAGGCACCUAUCAUCAUUGGGAGUAUAAUAUUGUACAAUUUUUUAUCCUCUAAUAAACACUUCGUUAACAAUAAAGUGUAUAAAAUUGAAUUUUGAACUAUGCAGCACUAUUUUGAACUCAUGCAACACAUAUGUAUGUAUAUUUCGCUUAACAUCAAACAAAUCGCAUGUAAGCUAACAUAAGUAACGGAGCAGUGCUGUCACUAUUGCCAGCGCACACACAACUGCACUGUAUAAGCAUAAAACAACGCAGCAAAUGUGCUGGCAUAUUUACAUACAAAUUAAUAAAACAUUAUUAUAUAUAACAAAUAACUUACCUCAAUUGUGUUUAAGAUGUGUAGAAACGGAAUAUGUUGCCGUAAAAGCUAUAAUAUUUACAAAUACGUAAAAAAACUCACACUUUUGCACACUUGGCCGGCACUCCGAUUUGCAGCGGCCACUUUUUCACAACACAAAAUAAACCAUAUAUUUGCACUGCCGGAGCACAUUUUUCACUUCUAUUCUAUAUUGAAAAUUUACAUAUUUCACUAGGAGCUUCUGACAAAGCAAGUUACUUUAACACAAGAUGAAACGGAAACUGACAGCAAACUAAGGAAAUGGCGGUCAAAUCUGGCUGUGCACAGAGUUGCAUUUUUUUAUUGCGAUAUAUUUUCUUUAUAAUUUUAUUAUUUUAUUAAAUUAAAAAUGCAGGUUUUAUUUUAAUUUUA